AACGUAGGUGGCGAGCGUUAUCCGGAUUUACUGGGCGUAAAGGGUGUGCAGGCGGGCUGUUAAGUGGUGUAUGAAAUAUCCCGGCUCAACCGGGAGAGGUUAUGCCAGACUGGCAGUCUAGAGAGCGAGAGAGGGACGUGGAAUUCCGGGUGUAGUGGUGGAAUGCGCAGAUAUCAGGAGGAACACCGAUGGCGAAGGCAGCUCGCUGGGACGGUACUGACGCUGAGGCGCGAAAGCGUGGGGAGCGAACAGG
rnacentral:rRNA from 1 species